rnacentral:snoRNA from 1 species
UAGCGUGGUGCGGGCAUAUAACCAACAUCCCUUUGAAUCGUUCCCACGUUUCUUACAAUGUCUCUAUUGAUUUUUGUUUGAAGCUCAAAAUUUCAUCAAUUUGUUG